UUUCCUUCUUUGGUCAAAGAUUGGAAGUUUCCUGGCUGUGGGGACCAUUAAAGGAAAUUUGCUCAUUUAUAAUCAUCAGACAUCUCGAAAGAUUCCUGUUCUUGGAAAACAUACUAAGAAAAUCACAUGUGGAUGUUGGAAUACGGAGAAUCUCCUUGCUUUGGGAGGCGAAGAUAGAAUGAUUACAGUUAGUAACCAGGAAGGCGACACGAUAAGACAGGUAACACGCCACCACAUGCCACCAUCUCUCUAUGUGACACUUCACUUUUCCUUGUGAUAAACAGCUUUCUGUCAAA
rnacentral:lncRNA from 1 species